UACGUAGGGGGCGAGCGUUGUCCGGAAUUACUGGGCGUAAAGGGAGCGUAGGCGGUCGAUUAAGUUAGAUGUGAAACCCCCGGGCUUAACUUGGGGACUGCAUCUAAUACUGGUUGACUUAGAGUACAGGAGAGGGAAGCGGAAUUCCUAGUGUAGCGGUGAAAUGCGUAGAUAUUAGGAGGAACACCAGUGGCGAAGGCGGCUUUCUGGACUGACACUGACGCUGAGGCUCGAAAGCGUGGGGAGCAAACAGG
rnacentral:rRNA from 2 species